UCGCCUCGAUCGUGGGAUCCAGCACGCGCCGUCUCGGCGUGCUUCGGUACCUGCGUGCUCCGGGCGUCGGCCUGUGGGCUCCCCAUUCGGCCCGUCUUGAAAGAUGGACCAAGGAGUCUGACAUGUGUGCGAGUCAACGGGCUAGAAAACCCGUAAGACGUAAGGAAGCUGAUUGGUGGGAUCCCUCACAGGUGCACCGCCGACCGACCUUGAUAUUUUGAGAAGGGUUCGAGUGAGAGCAUGCCUGUCGGGACCCGAAAGAUGGUGAACUAUGCCUGAGCGGGGCGAA
rnacentral:ncRNA from 1 species